GGAACAACCAAAGGAUCGACAAUCAGGUGAUGAUGAAGCAAUGGCUUUGGAUGAAACAUUAUGUACUGCACUUGAUUAUGGAUUGCCACCAAUAGGUGGUUGGGAAUUAGG